UACGUAGGGUGCGAGCGUUAAUCGGAAUUACUGGGCGUAAAGGGCGCGUAGGCGGCCUUCUAAGUCAGACGUGAAAUCCCCCGGCUUAACCUGGGAACUGCGUCUGAUACUGGUUGGCUAGAGUCCGGGAGGGGAUGGUGGAAUUCCCAGUGUAGCGGUGAAAUGCGUAGAUAUUGGGAAGAACACCGGUGGCGAAGGCGGCCAUCUGGACCGGAACUGACGCUGAGGCGCGAAAGCCAGGGGAGCGAAUGGG
rnacentral:rRNA from 1 species